CAGCAUGCUAUCCUAAGGACCUGGGCUCUGAUUGUAGCUGCAGGUUCUCCAAGUGCAUGCCAGAAAAAAUGGGUAGUCUUUGCCUGCUAUGGCUCCUCUGCCAAUGGCAGCCACUCUACUGUCCAACAAUC